CAGCAAGAGAUUCAAACCUUGCUUGCUCACAAGGUUAAUAUUUACAAAUAUUGACUUCUGUUGAGCCCUUUGGAACUUAAAAAAUAGUCUCUUGAUUUCUCAGUGAUAACACAGGAGGGAUUUUUGUUUUGUUUUUUUAGUUGGGCAGUGCACAAUUUUAUAUUUUUACUCUGAAAGCUGGUUUGCAAGGAGGUGCAUAAAUAUUAUUUAUCAAAUUACUAGCAUUUUUUGCAAUGCAACUUAUGUUUUUAUAAUGACACCAGAUUAAGAAGAGUGAAAGAAUUGAGCUGCAAAUCUAAGCUUUGCACUCCCAAUCUUAUGUUGGAAUAAUAAAUUCAGUUCAGCCAUAACUUACUGAAUAUGUCUAAUAUUUCUGAAAAUGUCUGAGAUAUUACUGGAUAGGUCAUAGAAGAAAUAUGGAGAAAUGGAAACUAGAAUGAUCUGUGUGAUUCUAGUUGUGGAAGCCGGAAGUUCAAAAUCAAGAUGUCAGCAGUGUGUGUCAGUUCCUUCUGGAGUCUCGAGGAAGGAUCCGUUGUAUGAGUCUCUCCUUCCCUCUGUGCUGCAACUCCUGAAACCUGAAGUCUGUGACUCACCAGUUCUAAGCCCCAGAGUCCUGAUGGGGCACCUCAAGGAGACACUUCAGCCACCUAAGUCAGCUGGACCACCCCAUGACACAGUCAUGGAGGUUCCAGUCUGAAUUCAGAGUCAAUGAUAAGGGAGGCUUCCGUGGCAGAGUGAAAAGCACACACCUGAGAAAUGAAAAGAAAUGGCAAAGGUCACACGUCUCAGGAUGAAUUGCACUGUGUGUGACACCCUAGCUGAAAUCCUAUCCCACAGGACCAUCAGGUGAGCAAUUAAAGAAAGUGGCUGAAAUUGCUUCCAUGUUCUUUUUUCUCUUCUAAAAAUAUCUAUGCUGAGACUUUUUCCCCGUGUGUGUGUAUACACGUGUGUGUAUACACGUGUGUGUAUACAUGUGUGCAGCUUCCCAUGCUUGUGCAGGCCUCUGUGCUAAAGUCGGUGUCUUCAUUCAGACUGCACUUCAUUAUGGUUUUGCUUGAUGUCUGCCUCUCUCUUCCAUUGCCUUUCUUCUAAUUCAUGCUCUACAUUGCAGCAAGAAUGCCAUUCCUCUGUUUAAUAUACUUUCAUGGAUGCUCAUUUGUCUAGACACCUUCUCAUGGGACACAUUCUGCCUUCUACUUAUAACUUAUUUAUCUGCCUUCUUUUGCACAAUGACCACUUCUUCCUUAAAGAUCCAGUGUUGACAUCAUCUCUUCCAUUCACGGAGGCUUCCCAACUCUUCCAGGCAGAGUGAGUCAUCCAUUUCCCUGGGCUCCUCCGGCAUCUCAUAGAGACUUCUGUUGUGGAUUCCCCUGCUCUGUGCCACAAUGAUGUGUCGACAAGUUUGUCUCUCCCACAGCAUACACUGUGGGAUUCUUUAAAACAGAGAUGGUGUCAUGAAUUUCUGGUUUGGCAGGUUUGAAAAUAUUAUGCAGAACAUUAGUUUUUUUAAUAAAAGAAAAAUGAAUAAACAGAAGGAUAAAGCAUUAAGCUUAACCUCUAUAUAUACAGAACUCUGUAUCUGUAAAAAGAGGAUAAUAAAGAUACCCAGUUGUGGUAGAUUAAAUGAUUAACUGCAAUUCUUUACUCUUUCCUUUUGUGCCACAUGGGCAGAAGCUUGGGUGUGUUGCUCACUUUGGCAAAGAACAUGUGGGUAGACAUGAGAUGGUGCCAGUUCUAAGCCUGUACCUUAAGAAGAAUCACAGUGUCUCUUUACCUCUUUCCUUCUGCCAUUACCAUGAGAAGCAUUCUCUCUGGAUACCUGUUCGUAUUAUCCCUACAGCCUGGAAUGCAGUUUGAAGAUAUGUGCAGAAGAAAUGCCCAAGCCGACCCCGGACCUACAGUGAGAAGCAGAACAGCCCAGAGAAGCUCAGCCUAGGGCAACAGAGACAGCCUAGUCAACCUACAGAUCUGGGACAAUAAAUGCUUCUGCUUUUAAGCCACCG
rnacentral:lncRNA from 10 species